UACGUAUGGUGCAAGCGUUAUCCGGAUUUACUGGGUGUAAAGGGAGCGCAGGCGGCACGGCAAGCCUGAUGUGAAAGCCCGCGGCCCAACCGCGGGACUGCAUUGGGAACUACCGGGCUGGAGUGCCGGAGAGGUAGGCGGAAUUCCUAGUGUAGCGGUGAAAUGCGUAGAUAUUAGGAGGAACACCAGUGGCGAAGGCGGCCUGCUGGACGAUGACUGACGUUGAGGCUCGAAAGCGCGGGGAGCAAACAGG
rnacentral:rRNA from 1 species